GUCCUUGAGAAGCCAUGUAGCCGAGUGGUCAGGACAGAAACUCUGGGUCAGGCACACUUGACUUCCAGCGCAGUCAGCUGCUUACCGUCUUCGUGACCGUGAGCGAUUUAUUAUACACAGACAAGAAGUUCUACAACGAGAAAGAAAUGUUUUUGACUUGUACUGACCUUACGGAUGGAACCCCUUAAGUAGAAGAUGGUAAUUCAAAAUAAAGCUCCUUGCGUCUGUUUCCAAAGAAUUAUGACUCGGAAGGUUCACAUGAGGUGAAGGAGGACACGAAGAAAUAGACAUCGAGUUGAGAUGCUGUGCCAAACAUCUGGAGGAGAGAAUGAGAGCAUCACGGGAAAACAGAUGGAGGGAGCGUGGCCAGAUCAAAUUAAAGGCGUCGCCGCCCAACUCGGAGGAGCUAAGAGAAUUCUACUAAAAAGGAAAAUUCUCUAAAACCUGCACUUUAAAUAGUCUCUUGACAUGAAAACACUUUAAAAAAUUAGAAUUCUCAUCAGGGCUUGAGGUUUACUUUGAAGGUUUUAAUUUAUCAAUUACUGUGUGCAUUGUUUUGUUUUGUUUUUUAACUAGAAACAAGAGCCUAAUUGAUAAUCAAAAGGGUUAUAGAUAAAGACCUACACUAAAAAUUG